AGUCCCGUGGCGAAAUUGGUAAACGCAACAGACUUAAAAUCUGUCGUCGAAAGGCUUGAGGGUUCGACUCCCUUCGGGACUA
rnacentral:tRNA from 1 species